GGCAAUGAAGGCACCACUCCCUGCUGGCUUAUCUGUUGGGCCGGUAUGUCACACUAACAGAGAGAAAAGAAGAAGAAAAAAACAAAACAAAACGGAGAAAUGGGGGAUAAAAGGCCCUCGCUAAACUAAGGACUUUGGAGAAGAACUCCCAAAGAAACCUUCGAUGGAGAAUUCCCUGAGGGAAAAACCACUUUGGAAGAACCCCCCCCCAGCGGAGGCUGCUUGCUGCGAAGAUUCCAGGCUUUCUCCCAUCCCCCACAGUGACCAGACCAGUUCUACAAACCUCGCCGGACCCACGAAAGAUGAGAAAGCUGUCACUAUUUUUGAAGACCUAUACUUGACAACUGUAACAAGAUGUGGACAGAAGAGAUGAAGAAGUCCUAAAGAUUACCAAGCUGAAACUUAAGUCAACUUCUCAGGUUUAUCAAUCGCUCUCCUGAGACCUUACCUGGCAUAAGGCUUUCAACCUUGUGACCCACAUCAUAAAAAGGACAUGGACCUUGAGGAAGAGGAGAACCAUCAGGAUAUGCAGAGGGCUGGAGGAACUCUCCUACAAAAGAAAAUGAAAGAGUUGGAGUUAUUCAGCCUAGAGAAGAGAAGGCCCUAGGGAGGCAUUUUAAAGGCCUUCCAGUACCUAAAGGGGCCUACAGAAAAG
rnacentral:lncRNA from 1 species